UUCAUAGCUUAGUUGGCAGAACAUGGGACUCUUAAUCUCAGGGUCAUGGGUUUGAGCCCCACGUUGGGCAAAA